rnacentral:tRNA from 1 species
GUAAGACAUAGCAUAGUUAUAAUGCAUUUCAUUUACACUGAAAACAGGCUUAAAAUAAGAGCUGUCUUAA